AGAGUUUGAUCCUGGCUCAGGAUGAACGCUAGCUACAGGCUUAACACAUGCAAGUCGAGGGGAAACGAUAUUGGAAGCUUGCUUCCGAUAGGCGUCGACCGGCGCACGGGUGAGUAACGCGUAUCCAACCUGCCCACCACUUGGGGAUAACCUUGCGAAAGUAAGACUAAUACCCAAUGAUAUCUCUAGAAGACAUCUGAAAGAGAUUAAAGAUUUAUCGGUGAUGGAUGGGGAUGCGUCUGAUUAGCUUGUUGGCGGGGUAACGGCCCACCAAGGCAACGAUCAGUAGGGGUUCUGAGAGGAAGGUCCCCCACAUUGGAACUGAGACACGGUCCAAACUCCUACGGGAGGCAGCAGUGAGGAAUAUUGGUCAAUGGACGAGAGUCUGAACCAGCCAAGUAGCGUGCAGGAAGACGGCCCUAUGGGUUGUAAACUGCUUUUAUAAGGGAAUAAAGUGAGAGUCGUGACUCUUUUUGCAUGUACCUUAUGAAUAAGGACCGGCUAAUUCCGUGCCAGCAGCCGCGGUAAUACGGAAGGUCCGGGCGUUAUCCGGAUUUAUUGGGUUUAAAGGGAGCGUAGGCCGGAGAUUAAGCGUGUUGUGAAGUGUAGACGCUCAACGUCUGCACUGCAGCGCGAACUGGUUUCCUUGAGUACGCACAAAGUGGGCGGAAUUCGUGGUGUAGCGGUGAAGUGCUUAGAUAUCACGAAGAACUCCGAUUGCGAAGGCAGCUCACUGGAGCGCAACUGACGCUGAAGCUCGAAAGUGCGGGUAUCGAACAGGAUUAGAUACCCUGGUAGUCCGCACGGUAAACGAUGGAUGCCCGCUGUUGGUCUGAACAGGUCAGCGGCCAAGCGAAAGCAUUAAGCAUCCCACCUGGGGAGUACGCCGGCAACGGUGAAACUCAAAGGAAUUGACGGGGGCCCGCACAAGCGGAGGAACAUGUGGUUUAAUUCGAUGAUACGCGAGGAACCUUACCCGGGCUUGAAUUGCAGAGGAAGGAUUUGGAGACAAUGACGCCCUUCGGGGUCUCUGUGAAGGUGCUGCAUGGUUGUCGUCAGCUCGUGCCGUGAGGUGUCGGCUUAAGUGCCAUAACGAGCGCAACCCCUCUCCUUAGUUGCCAUCAGGUUAAGCUGGGCACUCUGGGGACACUGCCACCGUAAGGUGUGAGGAAGGUGGGGAUGACGUCAAAUCAGCACGGCC
rnacentral:rRNA from 1 species